rnacentral:rRNA from 1 species
AACGAACGCUGGCGGCAGGCUUAACACAUGCAAGUCGAGCGAGGUCUUCGGACCUAGCGGCGGACGGGUGAGUAACGCGUGGGAACGUGCCCUUUGCUACGGAAUAGCCUCUGGAAACGGAGCGUAAUACCGUAUGUGCCCAAUGGCUUUUGUGGCCAUUUGGGAAAGAUUGUUCGGCAAAGGAUCGGCCCGCGUUGGAUUAGGUAGUUGGUGGGGUAAUGGCUCACCAAGCCGACGAUCCAUAGCUGGUUUGAGAGGAUGAUCAGCGACACUGGGACUGAGACACGGCCCAGACUCCUACGGGAGGCAGCAGUGGGGAAUCUUAGACAACGGGGGCAACCCUGAUCUAGCCAUGCCGCGUGAGUGAUGAAGGCCCUGGGGUUGUAAAGCUCUUUCAGCUGGGAAGAUAAUGACGGUACCAGCAGAAGAAGCAUCGGCUAACUCCGUGCCAGCAGCCGCAGUAAUAC